AUUGAACGCUGGCGGCAUGCUUUACACAUGCAAGUCGAACGGUAACAGGUUAAGCUGACGAGUGGCGAACGGGUGAGUAAUGCAUCGGAACGUGCCCGAUCGUGGGGGAUAACGUAGCGAAAGUUACGCUAAUACCGCAUACGAUCUGAGGAUGAAAACGGGGGACCGUAAGGCCUCGCGCGAUCGGAGCGGCCGGUGUCAGAUUAGGUAGUUGGUGGGGUAAAGGCCCACCAAGCCGACGAUCUGUAGCUGGUCUGAGAGGACGACCAGCCACACUGGGACUGAGACACGGCCCAGACUCCUACGGGAGGCAGCAGUGGGGAAUUUUGGACAAUGGGCGCAAGCCUGAUCCAGCAAUGCCGCGUGCAGGAAGAAGGCCUUCGGGUUGUAAACUGCUUUUGUACGGAGCGAAAAGGCUCUCUCUAAUACAGGGGGCUCAUGACGGUACCGUAAGAAUAAGCACCGGCUAACUACGUGCCAGCCGCCGCCGUAAGAC
rnacentral:rRNA from 1 species